AAUGAGAUAAUAAUAAUAAAUUCUUCAAAGAAAACAUAUCCUCGAAAUCAAAAUCUUCCAACGCAACUAAAAUUUGAAAACAAAAACUGAGUGUUUUGGUCUGAAAAAACAUAAGUAAAUAGCUACUAAAGGAAAUAGACAAAGAAGGCUGGAUUGGUGAUUUACUCUUCAUCAUCCUCAUCAUCAUCAUCAUCACCACCUGCUCCGUUCAAAGCCUUAACUCUCUCGAUCAACUUGUUCUUCCUCUCUUCAUAAGUCAGUUUCUUCAAGUUGUACCUGUUUUGUUUAUACCACAAUCAAUCAUGAACCCAGUGAGAUACUACACCAAUACAGCAACAACAAGCUUAUAAUAUUGAUACAGUAAUGAAAUUGUUUUUACCUCUUGUGUUCCUUGGGGGCAGGUUUCUCGGUUUUCUUAGGGUUGGGGUCAGCUCGAAUAGCUGCGUGAACCUUCUUGUACAUCUCCUCAAUGCUCUCAGCUUCAACUCCUUUCUUAAUGUA
rnacentral:lncRNA from 1 species